GAGUUUGAUCCUGGCUCAGAACGAACGCUGGCGGCAGGCUUAACACAUGCAAGUCGAACGCGUGUAGCAAUACACGAGUGGCGCACGGGUGAGUAACACGUGGAUAUCUGCCUUUUGGUUCGGAAUAACCCUGGGAAACUAGGGCUAAUACCGAAUGGUUCCUACGGGAUAAAGAUUUAUCGCCAAAAGAUGAGUCCGCGUCCGAUUAGCUAGUUGGUGAGGUAAUGGCUCACCAAGGCGACGAUCGGUAGCUGGUCUGAGAGGACGAUCAGCCACACUGGGACUGAGACACGGCCCAGACUCCUACGGGAGGCAGCAGUGGGGAAUAUUGGACAAUGGGGGCAACCCUGAUCCAGCCACGCCGCGUGGAGGAUGAAGAUCUUCGGGUCGUAAACUCCUUUCGAUCGAGACGAAUGGCCUCCGGGUUAAUACUCCGGAGGAAUGACGGUACCGAGAGAAGAAGCCCCGGCUAACUCCGUGCCAGCCGCCGCCGUAAC
rnacentral:rRNA from 1 species